GACGAACGCUGGCGGCGUGCCUAAUACAUGCAAGUAGAACGCAGUUGCGAACGGGUGAGUAAAGAGUAGGUAACUGCCUGGUAGAGGGGGAUAACUAUUGGAAACGAUAGCUAAUACCGCAUACUAACAGAUGGACCUGAGUUGUAUUAGCUAGUUGGUGAGGUAACGGCUCAACAAGGCAACGAUACAUAGCCGCCCUGAGAGGGUGUUCGGCCACACUGGGACUGAUACACGUCCCAUACUCCUACGGGAGGCAGCAGUAGGGAAUCUUCGUCAAUGGGGGGAACCCUGACCGAGCAACGCCGCGUUAGUGACUAAGGUUUUCGGAUCGUAAAGCUCUGUUGUUAAGGAAGCGGUACUUAACCAGAAAGGGACGGCUAACUACGUGCCAGCAGCCGCGGUAAUUC
rnacentral:rRNA from 1 species